rnacentral:piRNA from 1 species
UCAUAGAUGUUUGUCCUCAAGUUGC